AAGCUCGUAGUUGAAUUUCGAGACCGGUUUACUGGUCGUGCUUUUGUACGUACUGGUAUAAUCGGUUUCUCUCUUCUGACGAACUAUAAUGCCAUUAAUUUGGUGUUAUGGGAAAUCAGGACUGUUACUUUGAAAAAAUUAGAGUGUUUAAAGCAGGCUCACGCUUGAAUACAUUAGCAUGGAAUAACGGAAUAGGACGUUUGAUUCUAUUUUGUUGGUUUCUAGGAUCGACGUAAUGAUUAAUAGGGAUAGUUGGG
rnacentral:rRNA from 1 species